rnacentral:rRNA from 1 species
GACAGAGGGGGCAAGCGUUGCUCGGAAUUACUGGGCGUAAAGGGCUCGUAGGCGGCCAACUAAGUCGGACGUGAAAUCCCCAGGCUCAACCUGGGAACUGCGUCCGAUACUGGCAGGCUUGAAUUCGGGAGAGGGAUGUGGAAUUCCAGGUGUAGCGGUGAAAUGCGUAGAUAUCUGGAGGAAGGCCGGUGGCGAAGGCGGCGGCUCUGGAACAUUUCUGACGCUGAGGCUCGAAAGCGUGGGGAGCAAACAGGG